GGCAAGAAGGUCGACUUUAUCUAAUCUUUGGGCUAUUAGGUUCAGAUCGGCCUUAGGACUAGAGUCUGUUUGCUUGAUCUCAAAAAUUUCUGCCCGCUUUUGGUGAGGGAUUGAUCUUUCAUAGGAGGAUAAUGAAGCAUGAUUGAUUAAAUUUUUACUUAAAGUUUCAAAUAAAGUAUAGGCUUCAUCCUCACUUUUACUCAUGAAUGCACCCCCACA
rnacentral:lncRNA from 1 species